CCAGUCAGCUCAGUUGGUCAGAGCAUGGUGCUAAUAACGCCAAGGUUGCUGGUUCAAUCCCCAUAUGGU